rnacentral:rRNA from 1 species
UACAGAGGUCCCAAGCGUUGUUCGGAUUCAUUGGGCGUAAAGCGCGUGUAGGCGGCCCGGUAAGUCCGCUGUGAAAGUCCAGGGCUCAACCCUGGGAUGCCGGUGGAUACUGUCGGGCUCGAGUCCGGAAGAGGAGUGUGGAAUUCCUGGUGUAGCGGUGAAAUGCGCAGAUAUCAGGAGGAACACCAAUGGCGAAGGCAGCACUCUGGGACGUGACUGACGCUGAGACGCGAAAGCGUGGGGAGCAAACAGG